GACGAACGCUGGCGGCGUGCCUAAUACAUGCAAGUCGAACGCAGUGGGGACGGGUGAGUAACACGUUGGUAACCUCCCAUCAGAGGGGAUAACCCUUGGAAACAGGUGCUAAACCGAUACUGAUGGAUGUACCCGCGGUGCAUUAGCUAGUUGGUGUGGUAACGGCUGACCAAGGCCACGAUGCAUAGCCGACCUGAGAGGGUGAUCGGCCACACUGGGACUGAGACACGGCCCAGACUCCUACGGGAGGCAGCAGUAGGGAAUCUGCGGCAAUGGACGAAAGUCUGACCGAGCAACGCCGCGUGUGUGAAGAAGGUUUUCGGCUCGUAAAACUCUGUUGUUAGAGAAGCGGUAUCUAACCAAAAAGCCACGGCUAACUACGUGCCAGCAGCCGCGGUAAUUC
rnacentral:rRNA from 1 species